GCACAUUCCUCGCAUUCUAGGAUUGAGAUACACAGUUUGGUUCUUGUGGGGGCAGCCAGGGCGGGGGAGGAGGGCAGAGAACAUCCCAGAGAUCAAGACUGCUCUUCUUGCUCCCUCCCUGACUGACUUGGCCCACACUGACUGACCUGCCACCCCUUUACAGUGAUCUCCACCCAGUCUCUCUCUGCAAAGGCCUCCCUUGGCUCUCUGAUAAAGUUGGAGCUGUGGGUGCAGCAUUUCACUUCCACCUAGCAGCAUCAAUGAGCCAGCUGCUUACUGGGGAACACGCAAACCCCCAGCUGCUGGCGUGCAGGAAAAGAAUCCAGGAGAUCACCUGAUGAAGCCCAGCAUUUUACAGAUAGGCAGUGGAGCAGGGGAAUCCAGUUGACACUGUGGCUAAAUUUCAGAACACCUCCCACGAGAUCUUGCAAAGGAGAUGGAGAAAAUAUGGCUGAAUGCCAGCAAGGUUGGACGGAAGCAUGACUGCUCUAACAACCAAGCUCAAAGAGCACUGCUCACCCAAUGUUUCCUUCAUGACUAGAGCAAAGUGGUGAAAGGACCCUGGUGAGAGGCCCAAAGAACAGGAGGUGUGAGCCAACAGAAGGUGGGGUCCUGCUGGGCCUAUGUUGCAGGCUAUUUGGAGGCUGAACUUGAGGUUGAGGCAGAAUUAACCGUUGCAUGAGAUGUGGGGUAUGAGAGAAGGCCUGAGCACCUAGAAGGAUUGGGGGUGCCAUGAACUGACAGAGGUUGUGUAAUAGUGUGAUAUAAUAAGAAAUACAUGGCGGGCAUGGUGGCUUAUGCCUGUAAUCCCAGCACCUUGGCCACCAAUGCAGGACC
rnacentral:lncRNA from 1 species